CACUAUGCUUAGCCUUAAACAUUGAUCAUUUACUACAUCAAAUAUCCGCCUGGGAAUUACGAACAUUAGUUUAAAACCCAAAGGACUUGGCGGUGCUUAACAUCCACCUAGAGGAGCCUGUUCUAGAACCGAUAAUCCCCGUUUAACCUCACCCCCCCUAGCUUUUCCCGCCUAUAUACCACCGUCGCCAGCUUACCCUGUGAAGGACUAAUAGUAAGCACAAUCGGCACAGCCCAGAACGUCAGGUCGAGGUGUAGUGAAUGGGAGGGGAAGAAAUGGGCUACAUUCGCUGUCCACCAGCGAACACGAAUGCUACAUUGAAAUAUGCAGCUGAAGGAGGAUUUAGCAGUAAGCAGAAAGCAGAGUGUUCCGCUGAAGCCGGCUCUUAAGCGCGCACACACCGCCCGUCACCCUCCCCAAGCAACUGGACCUAAAAAUUUUCUUUAAACCCUAACAACCGCGAAGGAGAGGAAAGUCGUAA
rnacentral:rRNA from 1 species